GAGUUUGAUCGUGGCUCAGAACGAACGCUGGCGGCACGCCUAACACAUGCAAGUCGAACGAAGCAUGAGAGCUUGCUCUUAUGACUGAGUGGCGCACGGGUGAGUAACACGUGGGAAUCUGCCUAUUGGUGGGGAAUAACUUUUGGAAACGAAAGCUAAUACCGCAUAAGCCCUGAGGGGGAAAGAUUUAUCGCCAAUAGAUGAGCCCGCGCUAGAUUAGCUAGUUGGUGAGGUAAAGGCUCACCAAGGCUACGAUCUAUAGCUGGUCUGAGAAGAUGGUCAGCCACACUGGGACUGAGACACGGCCCAGACUCCUACGGGAGGCAGCAGUGGGGAAUAUUGGACAAUGGGGGAAACCCUGAUCCAGCCAUGCCGCGUGAGUGAUGAAGGCCUUCGGUUGGUAAACUC
rnacentral:rRNA from 1 species